UAGGAGCAAGCCAGCUAAGGGUGGGCGUAGUUCGGUUUGGUGCGAUUUUGAGUGAAACCGAAACCAAAACCAAAACCGCAAGUUUUUGAGGUUUGGUUCGGUGUAGUUUUGAGGCUAAAACCGAAAUGAAAUCAAACCAUUUGGUUUGGUUUGGUUUGGUUUUAAACGGUUUUGAUUUCGUUUCAUUGUUUGAAAAAGCUAUUAUGGUUACCUAGUUGUAUCUCAUUUCAUCCAAUUCAAUAAAAAAAGUUUUGGUGUUUAAACUUUUGACAUUAAAAACAAGUCUUUAGAUAGCCCAAAAGCAGCAUUAUUUAUUGUAGUCAAUGACCAAGCAUGCAAUACACAUUCAAUCUUAAGUUCAAGAGAGUUCACAUCAUGAUGCAGGGAUUGAAAUCAACAUGCAGCCCUAAGUAAUGCGAACAUCUCCUUAAUCAAUGGGGCGAAUUCAAUUCGUGUAGGUGUGUGUAAUUGUGUAUACUAGGCGGAAACCUAUCUAGUAUCUACCCAUUAUUCUCAUGUUAUAUAAAAAUUGGAAGAAAAUGAAAUUUCAAGGCAUGGCCAUUCCAGUAAGCAACAAGCCUAAUUAAUACUUAAUCUGCUAAAUUUAAUACUUAAAUCUAAUAAGAAGUGGAUUAUAUCGACUAAUCUAGGAACAUAUAUGACAUUUUGUCUUUUUUUUGCAGAACCCGUGAACUUGAAUCAUAUUCAAUUUUACUCUGAUUUAUUAGGUUUAUACGUAUGAAUAAUUUAUUUACCAAUCAAUAACAAUAUGACAUUAUGAUGUUCAUGAACGAAGAAAAUUCAAAGACUAACCAACGAAAAACCAAAUCCCUUUUUGAUUCAAAACCCAACCCUGAACUCUAGAGGCUAGGAGCUGGAAUGAAGGGGAGGCCAAGAAAGAGAGUUAGAAGCUUAGAUGAAUAAAGUUGAGCAGUAUAGACUAGAAGAAAGAAAAUAUAGAGACUAUGUGGAAAUAUGAUGAGGUUGAGUCCAUAGUAAAUGUAUGGACUUCAUGAAAUAACCAAUUAAAAUUUAACAUUUAAUAAAAUUAUGCGGUUUCGAUUUCGGUGCGAUUUUCAAAAGCCAAAACCAAAACCAAACCAUUUCCUACUUUGCGGUUCAGUUUCAAAACUGAAACCGUUUCAAAACCGUAAAACCAAACCGUUCGAUGCGGUUCAAUUUGGUUUAUGUUUCGGUUUCGAUUUUCAGUUCCAAGUGCCCACCCCUAGAGCCAACCUUUUAGAAGAAGCCGAGGUG
rnacentral:lncRNA from 1 species